rnacentral:rRNA from 1 species
CGUCAAAUCAUCAUGCCCCUUACGUUCUGGGCUACACACGUACUACAAUGGCGUUUAACAAAGGGCUGCGAAGGCGCGAGCCGGAGCUAAUCUCCAAAAAACGUCCCAGUUCAGAUUGCAGGCUGCAACUCGCCUGCAUGAAGUCGGAAUUGCUAGUAAUCGCGGAUCAGCAUGCCGCGGUGAAUACGUUCCCGGGCUUU